rnacentral:lncRNA from 1 species
UUCUCUGGCGUGCAGGGUGGCUGGCUGCCUCUGCGGUGGGCCCUGAGGCCCAAGAAGAAGGAGGGGCUGUCUCUGUAGACACUGCCUUUGCCCGGGCAACAGCUUGAGAUAGGCAAAGCUCGUGUCUUCCUCGUGGAAGGGGCUGCAGAUCGUCAAGUCCCUUAAUAAGCCCAUCUGAGGCGGUCUGAAGUGUUACCAAAGAAGACGGGGAGGGGUGACCGUGUGAUCAGGGUGCUUCUACUCUCAACCAGGUGGUCCAUGCCGUGCAAAGAUAGGGGAAGAACACCUUCCAGGUUCAGCAGGACUGUGUUCCCCUCCUGCUCUCUUGAGUUGUGGGGUUUGAAGAACACACUGAAUUCUGUUUAAGCCCCUUGGCACGGAAGACUCUGAGUGGGUGGUGGCAGGAGGACUUGAGGUGUCGGGGCAUCGGGACAGGUUGCAAACUGCCAGGUACAGGAGUCCAAGAACACCUCCAGCAGAGGCCACAGUGGUGUGUGCAGUAUCGCCGCCUAAGAAACCUGGCCGCCAUCCCCGACCACCCCCUUCAGAGUCUCAGAUGUGGGCUACAUCUGUGGAUUGAGAUGAAAAAUCUGCAUAUCUGGUGGGCCUUG